AGAGUUUGAUCAUGGCUCAGAACGAACGCUGGCGGCAUGCCUAACACAUGCAAGUCGAACGCUCCCGGGGCUUCGGUCCCGGGGGAGUGGCGCACGGGUGAGUAGCGCGUGGGAACCUGCCCUGUUGUGGGGGAUAACCGAGGGAAACUUCGGCUAAUACCGCAUGCGCCCGAAGGUAACUUCGGGGAAAGAUUUAUCGCAGCAGGAGGGGCCCGCGUCGGAUUAGCUAGUUGGUGGGGUAACGGCCCACCAAGGCGAUGAUCCGUAGCUGGUCUGAGAGGAUGAUCAGCCACACUGGGACUGAGACACGGCCCAGACUCCUACGGGAGGCAGCAGUGGGGAAUAUUGGACAAUGGGCGCAAGCCUGAUCCAGCAAUGCCGCGUGAGUGAUGAAGGCCUUAGGGUUGUAAAGCUCUUUCGCCCGCGACGAUGAUGACGGUAGCGGGAGGAGAAGCCCCGGCUAACUUCGUGCCAGCAGCCGCGGUAAUACGAAGGGGGCGAGCGUUGUUCGGAUUUACUGGGCGUAAAGGGCGCGUAGGCGGCGUAUCAAGUCAGGCGUGAAAGCCCCGGGCUCAACCUGGGAAUGGCGCUUGGGACUGGUAUGCUUGAGUUCGGGAGAGGAGAGUGGAAUUCCCAGUGUAGAGGUGAAAUUCGUAGAUAUUGGGAAGAACACCGGUGGCGAAGGCGGCUCUCUGGACCGAGACUGACGCUGAGGCGCGAAAGCGUGGGGAGCAAACAGGAUUAGAUACCCUAGUAGUCC
rnacentral:rRNA from 1 species